rnacentral:lncRNA from 1 species
AGGAGAAGCUGCAGGAUGCUCUGCAAAAGCUGAUGGAAAAAGAGAAAACAUGUGAUGAAUGGCAGGAUGUCAUUCAACAGCAGAGAACUUACUGGGAGAACCAAAUACAGAGUGAUAUAAAAAAUGUUCAAAUAGAGAUUAACGGGCUAAGAGAGCUCCUGGACUCCAAGGAGAAUGAAGAGCUGCAGGAGCUGAAGAAAGAGAAAGAAGAUGUUUUUCAAAGGCUGGAAGAGUCUGAAAAUGAGCUGGUGCAGCAGAGGGAGUCCGUGAGAGACUGCAUCUCAGAUGUAGAACAUCAGUUGGAGCUCUCAACUAUGGAAAUGCUCCAG